rnacentral:tRNA from 1 species
CUCCGGAUAGUAUAGUGGUGAUUACGUCGGGCUGUAAACCUGAAGAUCGCGUGUUCGAUUCACGCUCUGGAGA